rnacentral:rRNA from 1 species
UACGGAGGGGGCAAGCGUUAUCCGGAUUUACUGGGCUUAAAGGGUGCGUAGGCGGUUUGAUAAGUCAGUGGUGAAAUCCCCGAGCUUAACUUGGGAACUGCCAUUGAUACUAUUAGUCUUGAAUACUGUGGAGGUCAGCGGAAUAUGUCAUGUAGCGGUGAAAUGCUUAGAUAUGACAUAGAACACCAAUUGCGAAGGCAGCUGGCUAGACAAAUAUUGACACUGAGGCACGAAAGCGUGGGGAUCAAACAGG